AAGAGAGGCUGCCAUGGGUGUGCUAAGUUUCUGAUCUCUGUGAUCAUAGCAAGAUUGUCCUAAAUCAGACACAAACUUUGAAUGUUUGAGACUACCUUGGCCGCCAGAUUGUGUUACCUGGAAGUUUGGUCCCAAGCAAGAAGCCACAGGGAGAGACAGCGAGGCAACUCUAUACACAUGCAAUGAACACUGAGACUGAUAUCACUGAGAGUUUCAGAGGACAAUGGACUCAUUAUGGAUCUCACAUCUUUCCUAGACUCUGUUCUUUGCUCUUGGGUCUUCUCUACUCAGACUACCUGCCCCCAAAUGCUCCAUCCUCACCAAAAUACAAAGAUUGAGAAGAAAGUGGGACAAAGGGUGUGGAAUAAAAAAUGUAAGAUUGGCUAUCACCCCAAGGUGAUCAAAUCCAAUGUUGGCUUUGCUCCAGCAGAUCU
rnacentral:lncRNA from 1 species